CAGAGACUGCAAGCGUUAUUCGGAUUCACUGGGCGUAAAGGGUGCGCAGGCGGUUGGGUGUGUCAGAUGUGAAAUCCCGAGGCUUAACCUCGGAACUGCGUCUGAAACUACUCGACUAGAGUACUGGAGAGGGUAACGGAAUUCACGGUGUAGCAGUGAAAUGCGUAGAUAUCAUGAGGAAUACCAGAGGCGAAGGCGGCUCCCUGGACAAUUGCUGACACUCAGGCACGAAAGCGUGGGGAGCAAAAGGGAUUAGAUACCCCUGUAGUCCACGCCCUAAACGGUGCACACUAGGUCUUGGCGGAUUCGACCCCCCCAGGGCCCAAGCUAACGCGUUAAGUGUGCCGCCUGAGGACUACGGCCGCAAGGCUA
rnacentral:rRNA from 1 species